CGGCGGACGGGUGAGUAACGCGUGGGUAACCUGCCUCAUACAGGGGGAUAACGGUUAGAAAUGACUGCUAAUACCGCAUAAGCGCACAGUACCGCAUGGUACGGUGUGAAAAACUCCGGUGGUGUGAGAUGGACCCGCGUCUGAUUAGCUGGUUGGUGAGGUAACGGCCCACCAAGGCGACGAUCAGUAGCCGACCUGAGAGGGUGACCGGCCACAUUGGGACUGAGACACGGCCCAG
rnacentral:rRNA from 1 species